rnacentral:rRNA from 1 species
UAAUUUUCAAUCAGCGUCUGAACAAAUUAAUAAUUACAACUUUCAACAACGGAUCUCUUGGUUCUGGCAUCGAUGAAGAACGCAGCGAAAUGCGAUAAGUAGUGUGAAUUGCAGAAUUCAGUGAAUCAUCGAAUCUUUGAACGCACAUUGCGCCCCUUGGUAUUCCAUGGGGCAUGCCUGUUCGAGCGUCAUUUG